UUGUGUACCUAAAAUUCAGCACAUAACUAAUUCCUAUUUGUAAAAAGGAAAGUUGCACUUAUAGUGAUGUCUCCUUUCUAGUCGGCUUAAUAGAACUACAUUUAACUGAACGAGAUGGGUCGCAGAAAAUCGAAAAGAAAACCUCCACCAAAAAAGAAAAAUAUUGAGCCGUUGGACCAGCAGUUUAAUUGCCCCUUCUGUAAUCAUGAAAAGUCCUGUGAAGUAAAAAUUGCAGUUUUAGCGGAACCUGCCCAAAAAUCAUCCAAAAAAGUUGGGAGGGCUACCGCGUGUCAACCCUCAUAAUAAUCUGCAAGCGGAAAUUAACUUUUUUAAUUCAUUCCAAAGUUGUUUGUAAAAAACAUUGCGUUCGUUUUGAUGAAUUUCAAAUAAUUGUGGUAAUUCUGCGGGGUACAACUGCGGAACAAGUGAAGUAUAGCGGCCGUUGAGGGAAAAUAUAAAUAAAAAGUAUAUAAAUAAAAAGUAAGCGUGGACCGCACCGUUUUACUGAUUUUAAUCAAGGCGGAUUUAUGGAAGGGGAUGUUACUGGCGAAUUUAGAUUAGAACAACAACAACCACAUGUAUUUUGUAUUGCUGGUGUCAUGGUUUUUUUUUUUUUGGUUUUGGAUUUGGAUUUGGAAAAGGAAAUGAGUUCGGUGGACGGUACUGAACCACCGAUAAACUUAAAAUGAAAUGAAUGAAAUUUUGUUAACGUUAAAAUUUGAUUUCGGCUUUUUGAAAGAAUUUGGUAAGUUGAGUGAUUUUGCUGUAGUUGAGAUCGUGAAGGAUAUCGUGGAAGUUGCCAUUAUCUCUGAAGAUAUCGAGGCCCUCCCGAGCGCUAUUUAAAAAGGAGCAGUGGAAGGUUUGAUGUAUAUAACUGUAUUGCAUACCACAUCUACAUAUGUUUGAGUUUCUGGCUUUGAUUCUAUAAAGAUAUUCGCUGUCAUAAGUACAGCCGGUGAAAAUGCGAUUGAUUAUUUUGGUGUCUUUGGCAUCUAAGUGGCCAUCAUGAAACCAGGUUUUCUUGGAUUUGAAGGGGAAAAUCUGCGAAAAAAGAUUUGGUUUAAGGGAAGAGUACGCUAGAAAUUCUUCAUACCAUCUUUGGUAAAUUUCAUUUUUGAUGUUUCUUAGGGCCUCCUCAUUAGUGAGUUUAACAUGUAUUUCUUCAUCCAGAUUGAGUGCAUCUUUGGCUAGCUCAUCAGCUGUCUCAUUGCCAGGAACCCCCUUGUGGCUUGGUGUCCAUAUUAAGGUCACCCUGUCAUAAUCUGUCUCUAGUAUAGUAUUAUGAAUAUCGCUGAUAAUAUAAUCAUGAUACAAAAAAGAAGGUAGUUCCAUUGUCACUUUUUCGUCGCCAUAUUAACAACCUGACAAUUAAGUAGAUUGUGACAUUUCGUGCUACCGUAUGCAAUAUCUAAAAUACUCUAAAUUUUAUUAUUAAUUUUUUAUUUAUUUACAAACAUUUUAUUCUUAAAAUCGAAACUUGAACUAGCAAAAGGUAUUUUGUUAUUUGUACAAUAAUUUUGGGUUGUUGUGUCACAAAACUUAACCCAAAGCAAAAAAUUUUAACACACACGUGUUGUCAAACAAUUAAACGUAAGUUUAAAAUAAAAAUUUCAAGUUUUCAGAUACAAAUUUAUGAAUAAAUUCGGUUUGAAUUAUGGACCUUCUUGUAAAAAAUACUGUGGUCAGCGUAGCCGGAGUUGGACUGAUGAGAGUUAUUUUUCUAAGCGCUGCCGAAAUUUUACCCAAUUUGUCAAUGGGUCCGUCCCUCCGUCUCCGCUCCCCAUCCCAAAACCAUUGCACAAAUAACCGAACUUUUUCCCUUUUGUAUUUGAAAGAGCAUGCUCAAUAAGUUGAUAAUUGUGUUUCUAGUUUUCAUACUAACAAUAAAUCAAAUUUUGUUUCACACCAACUCCAAUAUUGAGUAAAAUAUAUUUUAAUUUUAUCCAAAGAAACAACGAUAUUGGCGAAAUAUACUAGAAUUGGAUAAUACUCACUUCUCUGAAAGUCAUGACGCCUACGGGUCCCAAAGUAAAUUCAGUUUUCACGUUACUUGAAAGACAUGGACAAAGAAAAUAUCGAAAUUAUAUCAGAAACAAUCGUAUCCGAUAUAGAAAACUGUAGUAGUCCUGACUAGCUACAUUGUGUAAUAAUCAGAUGACAUAAUGACACUAAACAAUUUUAAAAUAUGUUCACUAACUACUACUUUUAUUAAUGUAAAAAUAAAGAUUUUGGCAAG